CAGGCAACAAUGCGGAGGCAGGAGGCUGACUUUCCUUGAAGUUUUCGCCUCAAAUACCGCCAUCACGCAGGUGUCCGUGGCAAUCAUGUGAGCUGUUUCACAUGGCACAGCUUCUCAAAGUGUGAAGAGUUCCACUUAACCAAAACUGCCUAAGAACAUGCUCUGAUUUCAGUGCCUAAACAUGAUGUGAACAGCCUCAAGAAAGAAGUAGCUUAAGAAAUCUUAAAAUUUACAUCCUCUUGUUUUGUUUUUUUUUAAUUCACUUCUCUUCCUUUUGGGGGCUAAAAUUUUUUGGUGAGAUAAAUUAGAUAAACAAGAAAAGUCAAGAAAAGAAAUAGCAGCUAUAAAGCAAAAAUGAUGAACAGAUUAAAUUCCAUGUCAGUCAUGCUAACAGCAUGAUUAUUUGUUUUAGGCA